AUACCCCCUUUCACUUUGCCAGUUGGACUUAUGUCUUUAUUGGCCAUUCAAGUGGGGCAAAGGAAAUGCCCAUUUAAAACCCAGGCAAACUUAGUGUUGUCUUAUAACCUGUCUAGGGAAACAUUA